rnacentral:rRNA from 1 species
UAACGCGUGAGGAACCUGCCUCAAAGAGGGGGACAACAGUUGGAAACGACUGCUAAUACCGCAUAAGCCCACAACCCGGCAUCGGGAAGAGGGAAAAGGAGCAAUCCGCUUUGAGAUGGCCUCGCGUCCGAUUAGCUAGUUGGUGAGGUAACGGCCCACCAAGGCGACGAUCGGUAGCCGGACUGAGAGGUUGAACGGCCACAUUGGGACUGAGACACGGCCCAGACUCCUACGGGAGGCAGCAGUGGGGAAUAUUGCACAAUGGGGGAAACCCUGAUGCAGCGACGCCGCGUGGAGGAAGAAGGUCUUCGGAUUGUAAACUCCUGUUGUUGAGGAAGAUAAUGACGGUACUCAACAAGGAAGUGACGGCUAACUACGUGCCAGCAGCCGCGGUAAAACGUAGGUCACAAGCGUUGUCCGGAAUUACUGGGUGUAAAGGGAGCGCAGGCGGGCGAUCAAGUUGGAAGUGAAAUCCAUGGGCUCAACCCAUGAACUGCUUUCAAAACUGGUCGUCUUGAGUAGUGCAGAGGUAGGCGGAAUUCCCGGUGUAGCGGUGGAAUGCGUAGAUAUCGGGAGGAACACCAGUGGCGAAGGCGGCCUACUGGGCACCAACUGACGCUGAGGCUCGAAAGUGUGGGUAGCAAACAGGAUUAGAUACCCUGGUAGUCCACACCGUAAACGAUGAUUACUAGGUGUUGGGAGAUUGACCCUCUCAGUGCCGCAGUUAACACAAUAAGUAAUCCACCUGGGGAGUACGACCGCAAGGUUGAAACUCAAAGGAAUUGACGGGGGCCCGCACAAGCAGUGGAGUAUGUGGUUUAAUUCGACGCAACGCGAAGAACCUUACCAAGUCUUGACAUCCUCUGACGAACGUAGAAAUACGUUUUCUCUUCGGAGCAGAGAGACAGGUGGUGCAUGGUUGUCGUCAGCUCGUGUCGUGAGAUGUUGGGUUAAGUCCCGCAACGAGCGCAACCCUUAUGGUCAGUUACUACGCAAGAGGACUCUGGCCAGACUGCCGUUGACAAAACGGAGGAAGGUGGGGAUGACGUCAAAUCAUCAUGCCCUUUAUGACUUGGGCUACACACGUACUACAAUGGCGUUAAACAAAGAGAAGCAAGACCGCGAGGUCGAGCAAAACUCAGAAACAACGUCCCAGUUCGGACUGCAGUCUGCAACUCGCCUGCACGAAGUCGGAAUUGC